AAUGCAGGCCCUGCUCCAGCAGCAGAACAUGGAGACCAAUGCAGGGCUGGUGUUAGCAACAGGUCUCAUUAAUGGUACAAAGAUCUUUAGAUACACACAAUGUGAAAAUUUACAGCUAAAGUCAACCCACAAACUCCACCAGAAAGUCAGGAACAUCAGGGGACAGAGAUGGUCAGAGGCACACCUACAACAUAGCACCAGGUCAGCCCUGGGUGCCCAGGCCUAAGCUGAAAUGGAACUCCUGGGUCCACUGUCAGGGUGUUCCAGAAUUAGAAACACAGAAAUAGAAUGCAUGGUCUGAAUGAAGAUAUUCAACUACUACAACACAGACCAGAUCAUGUUACAGUCAAGACAAAAGAGACAACAACUCUUGUGGAUUUAAAGUUCUGAAUCCCAAAGGAGAAAAAAAAGUAGUCAUAAGGAAAACAAAUUUAUUAAGAUAGACACCAUCUGAUUAAAUAUCUUCUGUAUAUUUCAGUCUGAGAACACACAGCAAAUCAAAAAACUCAGUUAGAGAACAAGAAUUAUUUUCUGUUCAUCCACAUUCUAAAUUGGAUAAGCAUUUGUGCACUAAUGGAAAUCAGAUAAUUCUGUUUCAUAUAUGUUGGCAUCUCUUUAUGUAAUGGUUCAACUUUCAAGUAAUUCGAGCACAGAUUAUUACAAUAAAUUAAAAUAUCUAAUGUGCUUGAUUGGAUUCUAGAAAAUAUAAGAAAACAUACACCACAGUCAGCUAAAAAAAAGAAAAAGGAAGAAAUAUUCUUGUUGAAUUACCCUGAACUCAGAUUAUUCAGUGACAGUGAGUAUAAUAGAAUAGUUAAAAUAAAAAGUAACACUUAAACUACAA